UUGAAACCGAUACCGCGUGAGGGAUAGAAGUGGAUAGCCCACAGACCAUGAGUGAUAACGAAUAGGUCGAGGACUUGUAACGGAUAGCCCGGCCCUUG
rnacentral:misc_RNA from 1 species